CCGGCCCACGGCAAUGGAUUCCUGCCGGGCCUUCGCGCCGAACCGCCCUCGCAAGGGACGAUGAUUCCUACCGAUCG
rnacentral:ncRNA from 2 species